rnacentral:misc_RNA from 1 species
GAUGAAGAACGUAGCGAAAUGCGAUAAGUAAUGUGAAUUGCAGAAUUCAGUGAAUCAUCGAAUCUUUGAACGCACAUUGCGCCCGUCAGUAUUCUGGCGGGCAUGCCUGUUCGAGCGUCAUUACGCCCCUCAAGUCCCCUGUGGACUUGGUGUUGGGGAUCGGCGAGGCUGGUUUUCCAGCACAGCCGUCCCUUAAAUUAAUUGGCGGUCUCGCCGUGGCCCUCCUCUGCGCAGUAGUAAAACACUCGCAACAGGAGCCCGGCGCGGUCCACUGCCGUAAAACCCCCCAACUUUUUAUAGUUGACCUCGAAUCAGGUAGGACUACCCGCUGAACUUAAGCAUAUCAAUAAGCAGAGGA